AGUAGCAAUACUUAGUGGCAGACGGGUGAGUAACAUGUAGGUAUCUACCCUUUGGCCUGGAAUAACACGAGGAAACUUGUGCUAAUACCGGAUAAGUCUUUACGGAGAAAGCUUUAUGCACCAUUGGAUGAGCCUGCACUUGAUUAGUUUGUUGGUGGGGUAAUGGCCUACCAAGACUGUGAUCAAUAGCUGAUUUGAGAGGAUGAUCAGCCACAUUGGGACUGAGACACGGCCCAAACUCCUACGGGAGGCAGCAGUGGGGAAUCUUGCACAAUGGAGGAAACUCUGAUGCAGCGAUGCCGCGUGAGUGAAGAAGGCCUUUGGGUUGUAAAGCUCUUUCGUCGGGGAAGAAAAUGACUGUACCCGAAUAAGAAGGUCCGGCU
rnacentral:rRNA from 1 species